UACGUAGGGAGCAAGCGUUGUCCGGAAUCAUUGGGCGUAAAGCGCGCGUAGGUGGCUUCGUAAGUCCGUUGUGAAAGUCAAAGGCUCAACCUUUGAAAGCCGAUGGAUACUGCGGAGCUAGAGUACGGAAGAGGCGAGUGGAAUUCCCGGUGUAGCGGUGAAAUGCGCAGAUAUCGGGAGGAACACCAACGGCGAAGGCAGCUUGCUGGGACGGUACUGACGCUGAGAUGCGAAAGCGUGGGGAGCAAACAGG
rnacentral:rRNA from 1 species